rnacentral:rRNA from 1 species
UGGGGAAUAUUGGACAAUGGGCGCAAGCCUGAUCCAGCCAUGCCGCGUGAGUGAUGAAGGCCUUAGGGUUGUAAAGCUCUUUCGACGGGGACGAUAAUGACGGUACCCGUAGAAGAAGCCCCGGCUAACUUCGUGCCAGCAGCCGCGGUAAUACGAAGGGGGCUAGCGUUGCUCGGAAUCACUGGGCGUAAAGGGCGCGUAGGCGGACGUUUAAGUCAGAGGUGAAAGCCCAGGGCUCAACCCUGGAAUGGCCUUUGAUACUGGACGUCUUGAGUCUGGUAGAGGUUGGUGGAACUGCGAGUGUAGAGGUGAAAUUCGUAGAUAUUCGCAAGAACACCGGUGGCGAAGGCGGCCAACUGGACCAGAACUGACGCUGAGGCGCGAAAGCGUGGGGAGCAAACAGGAUUAGAUACCCUGGUAGUCCACGCCGUAAACGAUGGAUGCUAGCCGUUGGCCGGUUUACCGGUCAGUGGCGCAGCUAACGCGUUAAGCAUCCCGCCUGGGGAGUACGGCCGCAAGGUUAAAAC